rnacentral:lncRNA from 1 species
GUUGUUGAGAAAGUUGCCUGGUGCUCGAACAUUGGUUCGAGGCAUUUUCUCUACCUUUUCUUACCCUGAAAAAUCAAGGGCACCUUACGUUCUUGAACCAAUAACUAGCUUUUGGCUAACCUAGCCUCCUCCAUCCUUCGAGACCAACAAGGAGUAGUACAUGAAUAUUCACCUUUUGUCCAUCGAUUACGCCUUUUUGUUUAAUCUUAGGCCCUGACUCACCCUCCUAGACGAACCUUGCGGAGGAACUCUUAGGCUUUUGAGACAUUGGAUUCUCACCAAUGUUUGCAUUACUCAAACUGACAUUCUCGCUUCCAUUUCGUCCACUAUUGCUUGCUCGAGGGCUUCGUUCUAAAGAGGUUUGACG